CCUACGGGGGGCAGCAGUGGGGAAUAUUGCACAAUGGGGGAAACCCUGAUGCAGCGACGCCGCGUGAGUGAAGAAGUAUUUCGGUAUGUAAAGCUCUAUCAGCAGGGAAGAAAAUGACGGUACCUGAUAAAGAAGCACCGGCUAACUACGUGCCAGCAGCCGCGGUAAUACGGAGGGGGCAAGCGUUAUCCGGAUUUACUGGGUGUAAAGGGAGCGUAGACGGCAGCACAAGUCUGGAGUGAAAUGCCGGGGCUUAACCCCGGAACUGCUUUGGAAACUGUGCAGCUAGAGUGCAGGAGAGGGAAGUGGAAUUCCUAGUGUAGCGGUGAAAUGCGUAGAGAUUAGGAGGAACACCAGUGGCGAAGGCGGCCUACUGGACUGUGACUGACGUUGAGGCUCGAAAGCGUGGGGAGCAAACAGGAUUAGAUACCCGUGUAGUC
rnacentral:rRNA from 1 species